GCUCAGGACGAACGCUGGCGGCGUGCCUAAUACAUGCAAGUCGAGCGAGCAGAACCAGCAGAUUUACUUCGGUAAUGACGCUGGGGACGCGAGCGGCGGAUGGGUGAGUAACACGUGGGGAACCUGCCCCAUAGUCUGGGAUACCACUUGGAAACAGGUGCUAAUACCGGAUAAGAAAGCAGAUCGCAUGAUCAGCUUAUAAAAGGCGGCGUAAGCUGUCGCUAUGGGAUGGCCCCGCGGUGCAUUAGCUAGUUGGUAAGGUAACGGCUUACCAAGGCAAUGAUGCAUAGCCGAGUUGAGAGACUGAUCGGCCACAUUGGGACUGAGACACGGCCCAAACUCCUACGGGAGGCAGCAGUAGGGAAUCUUCCACAAUGGCCGCAAGUCUGAUGGAGCAACGCCGCGUGAGUGAAGAAGGUUUUCGGAUCGUAAAGCUCUGUUGUUGGUGAAGAAGGAUAGAGGCAGUAACUGGCCUUUAUUUGACGGUAAUCAACCAGAAAGUCACGGCUAACUACGUGCCAGCAGCCGCGGUAAUACGUAGGUGGCAAGCGUUGUCCGGAUUUAUUGGGCGUAAAGCGAGCGCAGGCGGAAGAAUAAGUCUGAUGUGAAAGCCCUCGGCUUAACCGAGGAACUGCAUC
rnacentral:rRNA from 1 species